rnacentral:rRNA from 1 species
GCCAAUUACCAUAUCUGCCUGAAUGUGCCCUAUCUUAUCAGAUUUCGGAAGCUAAGCAUGGUUGAGACUGGAUAGUGCUUGGAUGGGCGACAACCUUGCAUACCAGUCAUUAUAGGCU